AGGCUGUACUGCUAUACAGAAGGACCGGAGAGAAGUCGGCGGAAAGAAUGGAGGGACAGCGAUGGAGAAGAGGAGUUCGUGAGGCGGGACGAAGGCUGCACCGGCGGGUGCAUCAAGUGCAGGAGUACGGAGCACUGGUCGCGCGACCGUCCUUCCUCUUCUUCAAACCCUAAUGAACCUAGCCCUAAUCUCGUCGCCACUCAGCCUCUCGGUAAGCCUUGGCGGUCACCAAGUCCUCCAUUAAGAAGGCUCUGAGAACGAGGCUCAAGCUCACCCCGCGGUUCUUGAACUCGGAGGAUGGCCUUGGUUAUGUGGUUCGCCAUUUCCCCCGCGCCUUCAAGUAUCUCGGCUGCGGCCAUUAAGUUGCUGAUCUUGGUAACUUGACUGGUCUUUAAGCACAGUGGCAUUCUCAGUUAAUCCCUUACUAUUCCUUUGAUCAAUUUGUUCGCAAGGUUGAGCAAGUUGGUGCGACUGGACGAGUUAGGAGAUGCAUAUCAGAAUUGAAGGAUAAAGUUGCCAAUGGCGGGGACCCCUCAAAGCUUUAUGAAUCCCUAUUGAAGAAGUUGCUCCAGAAAUUGAACAAGAUGAUCCAACUGCCGGAGAACCAGUUGCAGAUGCAGUAGAUCCAUUAUUUGACUCCAUUGAAACCGAUCACAUACAGGAGGAAGAGAUUUUCAAUGAGAUUUAUCACAAAGCUACUGAAGUAAGUCAUUAUAUUUUCUUGUCCUGCAGUAGUUAUCUAGUCAUUCAUUCAUGAGCAUUUUUGUUCUUGUAUUUAUUGCAAUAAAAAUGUGCUGUAGCAUGAUUUAAGUUAACCUCUUGAUCAAUAUCUGCAUCACUGACUUUUAUGUUGUAGUUCUUAACCCAUCGUCAAACAGAUAACAAAAAACAAAUCCAGUGAUUAGAAGGAUGCAGGCCAGCAUCCUGUGACGAGUGCAUGAGUAGCUGUGAGUUGCAAUAUUUAGAGGCAACUUGAAAUAAGUAAUAAUUGAGUUGUUCUAAUCUUGUAAUUUUAAAAGUUGAAUAAAUAAGUCAAAUUAUGAUCUGGUGUGUUGCAGCACCCUACGUUUCUAUUUCUA